CACUGCAGCUGCAGAGGGGCUGUCCCUGGUGGCCACGCUGCCCACCGCUCCCCUCUCUGCUCAUCAACAUGGCAUAUUUGCUCCUGGGCACUGCCCAGCCCCAGGCCUGGUGACUCGGGAAAAAGAACACUGGCGGAAAAACAAGUUAAUGAGCUUCUUCAUGGGGAAGAAGCCAUGCCAGGGAGCGGGUAGCUGUCUGGAGCCAGGCCAGGUGGUGCCAGGUGGCCUGACUGCUGGCCUCAGCCCUCCACUGGACAGGAUGCCCAGGAUCCAGUGCAUACAGAAGCAGGGCCAGCUAUGAAAACAUGCAGCAGGCUCUGGGACCAUAGAAGGAGAAAAUGAAGAGGGGGUGGAGUGUACCCUGUCAUCUCUGCUCAUGUGGACCAACUAGCUCUCCUGGUGGACACAGCAGGCCCCACUGAGAUGUUGUGUUGAGCUGCUUUGGCUUUGGCUCCCUCGUUGAAGAACACGCGAUGAUUGUCCGCCUGCUCUGCACUCUGCCCGGUGCCAGAGCACCAUCAACCAGUGAAUCAGUGUAGACCCAGGAAUGCUGUGGCCUGGUGGGGAACGUAGCAAGCCUGCCUUAGGUUGGCUUCGAGAUAAUGAGGCUGUUUUGGAUCCAUAUCAUCUAUAUGAAUUUCUGAAUUAUCUUGUCAAUGGAUGGAAAAAAGCCUGCUGGGAUUUUACUGAAUGACUCGAUCAAUUUGCGAAGAAUUGAUAUCCUAAUAAUAUAAGUCCUCUACCAAAUGCAUGAUCUAUUUCUUUCUUGUUUUCUCUCGGCAAUGCUUUAUAGCUUUUGAUAUAGAAGAUUUUGCAGAGUAUGUUAAAUUCAUCCCUAAGUUUUUGAUGUUUUGAUACUAUUAUAAAUGGUAUUUUAAAGUUAAUUAAUUUUGCAAUACUAGAAAUUGAAGCCAGAGUCUCAUGCACUCAAGGCAAGUGUCUUACCAAUGAGCCACAUCACCAGCCCUUCUACUUUAAAUAGUGUACAGAAAUACAACUGAUUCUCAUAUAUUGA